GGGUGCUGUCACCUUUGUUGAGUACCUCUAUUUUUAACCAUCAUGAACCUGUUAUUCCCUCAUUUGUAAAUAGGACUUUUUGUUCACAAAUUAAUUUUUCCCUUUGUUCUGAAUUUCUCAAAUUCCCUACAGAUUACAACAUAAAGUAAAAUCAUAAAGAUAACUUUUAGAAUCUUUGUGGGGAUGUUAAUCUUUUUUUUUAUCUUGCCUCACAAGUAUGACCACUAUAUGGGCAUUGGAGAAGGAAGCAAUGAGCAGCUAGAAACAAAGUAUAUGGCAGGAUAAGAAAAAAAAAUGUUACCUCCGGAGUUCCCAUCAUUGCUCAGUGGUUAACGAAUCUGACUAGGAACCAUGAGCUUGCAGGUUUGAUCCCUGGCCUUGCUCAGUGGGCCUUGGUCAGCGUGGCCGUGAGCUGUGGUGUAGGUUGCAGACGCAGCUCGGAUCCCACGUUGCUGUGGCUCUGGCGUAGGCUGGCGGCUAUAGCUCCUAUUCGACCCUUAGCCUGAGAACCUCUUUAUGCCGUGGGAGCAGCCCUAGAAAUGGCAAAAGGACAAAAAACAAAACAAAACAAAUGUAACCUCCCAUGUAAUGUUCAUUUCUCAAAAUACUUAUUAUCCUUCAAAGCCCAAUAUGAAUGUCAAGUCUGAAAAUAUUUCAUUUCAUCUUCUGUUUUUUUCCUUCCUCUCUUAGUAUACUCAUACUGUGCUUGUGCCAUGAAACUUGAAGUAGCAAUAAAUUCAUUGCCUCAUACAGCAACUGAGCUCAAUAAAACUAGGUGAAUUUUAAUGAGAUAAAUACUAAAUCUUACCACUAAAAAAUUAAGUGCAGAAUAACUUAAGUAUUGAUCUGCUCCAUAUAUCAAAAAGACUAUAGAAGAUUCUCAAAAAUUCUAUAAGCUGCAACAGCCCAAAGAAACUAAAUGUGACUAUGUAUGUGUGUUGAAAUACAAAAGGACCAGAGAAGUAUUCUGGAGAUUUCAAGAAGAUAAGGUUCUUCUUUCAAAAAUCAGAAGGUCAAUUUCUAACCCACCAUUUAUUUUUUAAGAGGAUCCUGCUAUAUCCCUCCCCUGUUGCCCUGUGGGCUUUUUGCUCUGCCUCAAGUUUUUCAUGUACCAAUGGAAAUAGAAAGACAGGGACUGCUAAGAACAAAAUUUUAAAUAACCUUUUUCUUUCUCUUUCUCUCUCUCUCUCUCACACAGUAGGCUUUAUCAAUUUAUAUCCACUUUCUUUUGUGAAAUUUAAUUUAGUCAUUUUCCAAGACAUCCUCAUUCAUUUUGUGAUUGAGCUCCAUCUUUCUAAAUGGAAAGAGGGUUGGGUUGAAUAUAUAGAGGGAGGUGACCUUUACCCAAUGAUGGAAUUGUGCGAGAGAUUUAUGAUUGUAAAAGGAUUCCUGUCUACACAGAUGGCAAAUCCCAGCAUUUCUAGUCUCUGCCACUGCCUCAUUUCCUUCUGCCACAUUGCUCUGCUGCAAUGUUCAAUCAUUGUCUCCUUUGCUGAUGACAUCUCUCGUGUCUAGGAACAGAAGGGAGAAUCCAUCUGUUGGCAGGAAGAGAAAAAAGAAGGUACACAAGGUACUGUAUGUUUGCAAUUUUUUUUUUCAAACACUGGAGACAGGAAAUGUUUGAGUUGAAGUGCUAAUGGUAAAUGUCUGAGUGUGUGCUCCGUAUUAUUGCAUGCAAAAAUUGCAUUUAAAAUGAACUUAGAGAUGACACUUUAAAUACUCAGUCCCCCCCCCAGCCAAACAAAACCAUUUUUUAAAAAUACAAACUAUACUAAUAAUGUGAAUGACAUGUUGGAAAAAUUAAGCUAGGUAUGCAGUGCUCUUUAAAAUGAUCACUGUCAUUUAAUCUGUUUCCACCAACAUUUUAGGUUCCCUGAUGCAGAGAGAAAUACAUAAUGAGAUAUGCUCAUUAAUGUGGAGUCUUAGGAUAUUUCUCUUUAUCGUUUAGGUGCUUUUAAAGAUACUGAUUUUUGUCUUAGGAGAAAACUGUGUGUAAAAUACCCCUCAAAAACCUGACUGAAUCAGCAGAAUAACAUAACCUGUCUGGCUUCCAUGUAUCAGAAAUUCCUUACUACCUAAAAAAAAAAAAGGGCUAUUGUGAACAGCCUGGGUUGGAUCACUUUAAUGAUGUGUUACAAAAUAUAGCUGAGCUGCUGUAAACAAUCUCUCCUUUGUUUAAAAGAACGAAAAAGACAUAGAACAAGAAUGGGUAAAAAUGCUUCCUGUUGCAAAGCUUUCACUCUUAAAAACAAUUUCUAGACUUCUCACAACAUUCCUCUUUGACUAGCCACCAGCAAGCACACCCCUCCAGGGAAGGGUAUGUAUAUGAGUGUAUGCACACACACUUCCCUCUCCUCAAAAAAUCUGCUGAACACUUACUAUAUUUCACUGUGUGCCCCAAAAAUUAAUCCUUCAAAACUCUUUUAAAUUCUUUUAAGUCUGAAAAAGCACAACUGGCCUAGACUUAUAUGAUGGAAACCUUUGCCUGGUGGAGUUUGAUGUACUGAAAAUGGACUCCUGGUUCCUUAGUUUACCAGCUAUUUUGGGAAAACCAUUCAUCAGCGUAAAUAAAACCUAUUACAUCGAUUUAAUGGGAUUCACAUAAAUGAACCUGUAUUUGGUCCAUUGCAGGUGCUCUAUAAUGAGCACUGUUUGAAUCUCACCUGAAUCUAUUGUGCAUUACAAGAGUCCAAGCAACAG
ensembl:lncRNA